GCCCCCGUAGCUCAGCGGACAGAGCGCCGGACUUCUAAUCCGAUGGUCGCAGGUUCGAAUCCUGCCGGGGGUGCCA
rnacentral:tRNA from 1 species